GCAUCUUUAGCUGAAUGGUACAGCGUUUGCCUUCGAAGCAUAAAGGUACGAGUUCGAAUCUCGUAGGAUGUU
rnacentral:tRNA from 1 species